rnacentral:rRNA from 1 species
GGCGGCGUGCUUAACACAUGCAAGUCGAACGAUGAACCACUUCGGUGGGGAUUAGUGGCGAACGGGUGAGUAACACGUGGGCAAUCUGCCCUGCACUCUGGGACAAGCCCUGGAAACGGGGUCUAAUACCGGAUACUGACCCGCCUGGGCAUCCAGGCGGUUCGAAAGCUCCGGCGGUGCAGGAUGAGCCCGCGGCCUAUCAGCUUGUUGGUGAGGUAACGGCUCACCAAGGCGACGACGGGUAGCCGGCCUGAGAGGGCGACCGGCCACACUGGGACUGAGACACGGCCCAGACUCCUACGGGAGGCAGCAGUGGGGAAUAUUGCACAAUGGGCGAAAGCCUGAUGCAGCGACGCCGCGUGAGGGAUGACGGCCUUCGGGUUGUAAACCUCUUUCAGCAGGGAAGAAGCGAAAGUGACGGUACCUGCAGAAGAAGCGCCGGCUAACUACGUGCCAGCAGCCGCGGUAAUACGUAGGGCGCGAGCGUUGUCCGGAAUUAUUGGGCGUAAAGAGCUCGUAGGCGGCUUGUCGCGUCGGUUGUGAAAGCCCGGGGCUUAACCCCGGGUCUGCAGUCGAUACGGGCAGGCUAGAGUUCGGUAGGGGAGAUCGGAAUUCCUGGUGUAGCGGUGAAAUGCGCAGAUAUCAGGAGGAACACCGGUGGCGAAGGCGGAUCUCUGGGCCGAUACUGACGCUGAGGAGCGAAAGCGUGGGGAGCGAACA